rnacentral:rRNA from 1 species
ACCUGAUCAGCCAUGCCGCGUGAGUGAAGAAGGCCUUCGGGUUGUAAAGCUCUUUCAGCCGGAACGAAAAGGUCACGGCUAAUACCCGUGACUAAUGACGGUACCGGAAGAAGAAGCACCGGCUAACUACGUGCCAGCAGCCGCGGUAAUAA